GAUGAACGCUAGCGAUAGGCUUAACACAUGCAAGUCGAGGGGCAGCACAAGGUAGCUUGCUAUCUGGGUGGCGACCGGCGCACGGGUGCGUAACGCGUAUGCAACUUGCCCUAUACAGGAGGAUAACCCGUCGAAAGACGGACUAAUACUGCGUAUGCUCACAACUUGGCAUCAAGUGGUGAGGAAAGAAAUUCGGUAUAGGAUAGGCAUGCGUCCCAUUAGCUUGUUGGUGAGGUAACGGCUCACCAAGGCAACGAUGGGUAGGGGAACUGAGAGGUUUAUCCCCCACACUGGAACUGAGACACGGACCAGACUCCUACGGGAGGCAGCAGUGAGGAAUAUUAGGCAAGGGGCGCGAGCCUGAACCAGCCAAGUCGCGUGAAGGAUGACUGUCGUAGGGAUGGUAAACUUCUGUUAGACAGGAAUAACAAGAGUCACGUGUGACGCCCUGCAGGUACCGUAUGAAUAAGCAUCGGCUAACUCCGUG
rnacentral:rRNA from 1 species